GCCGCACUCACUCGCACGCUUCUCGCCGCUCGCCGGCCUUCCCCUUCUCGCCUGCCUCCCCUCUCCCCGCUGCUCGCCAGCCUCACCCUCCCCUCUCCCCAUCGCCGGCCUCACCCUCCCCUCUCCCCAUCGCCGGCCUCACCCUCCCUCUCCCUCUCCCUCUUCCUUUCCACCACCCCGCCUCCACUCACACCCUGGAGGUAAAAAAAUCAAUCUUGUGAGCCGGCGACGAGCUUCUACUCUGGAAUAUGCAAUAGAGGCGUGGAUGUGGAGCACUAGCACUGGAUCUAGGCGAGGGAGGCAUGGAUGUGGAGCGGCACGCGAGCGACGGAUUUGGAGCAGCACCGGAGCAGUGGAGCGGAGGAUCUGGAGCAGAGUAUUCGUCCUCACGGUGCCCAUGUCAUCGUCUUUGUCGGACGUCCCCACCUCGCCGACGCGUUCGAUCUGCGCACACUACGUUCUCUCGGAACUUUAGGCAUGUUUGCAAUUGGACAAAUGAUGUAUAACAAUGAUCAUCAUCUCUAAAUUUGACAAUUAGACAACAUCAGCAGGAGGCCAGCAACACUAUCAUUUUCUCAUGCAUUACAGUUUUACAGACUAUUGUACCUAAAAGCAUCGACAAAUUCUCCCAAUUCUGCAUCUGGCAAAAACUGAUAAGAAUUGGGAGCAAUGAGGAGUACCUGGCGAGGACCAGGCGGGGGAGCAGCGAGGACCGAGCAGGGGAGAAGCAAGGAUCAGGCUGGUCAGUGCGUUGAGAGGACCAGGUUGGUGCAGCGAGGACUAGAUUGGGAGGAGCGAUGGCGGCGGCCAGGCUGGGGCGGCGGUGAUCAAAUUGGGAGCGGUGGCCACCAAACCGGGCAAGGGCGACG